rnacentral:lncRNA from 1 species
GGCGGCGCCCUGUGCCCAGGGCGCGUCCGGCCGCUCCUCGCCGCGGGCCGCCCGGGGACGUGUGGGCGCCGAGGGCGCUUGGGCUCUGAGCACUGCGGGGCUGCGGGCUCGGCGCCCCGGGGAGGCGGGCGCGUGGCCGCCAGAGCGAGUGCCCCAGCCAGCUGCGAUCGCGGGAGACCGUCCGUUUCCCCGGAGGGAGUCGCGAAUUCAGGCCCCGGGAAGUGGGCGAGGACAGGAUUUGGGGUGCGCACUGACUCUCCUUGGAGGAGACGUUUACCCAGCGGCAGCUCGGUCUCGUUUCGCUACCACGCCAGGCUUCCGGUCAGAGGAGGGUUUUCUCCGUCUCUUGGUGAACUUGAACGGAGGCUCGGCAACGGCGAAACGUUUCUGAGCCAGGAGAUGAGAGUAACUAGAGCUCAGGGAUGACAAGGUUCUGCAGCUGCGGGGCCCAGAGGCGAGAGAUAAAUGAUGAUGUCCUUUGAGCACCCGCUGGAAACUGGGCAGGAGGGACAGUAACCCCAGGAGAGCGUAGGCCUUGCAGGGACGCGGGGAUGACGCCUCUGGAGGCCCCAGCCUCCCUCCCGCCUGGGUGGUAGGAGCCUUCCCCGGGCUCCAGCCUG